GACGAACGCUGGCGGCGUGCUUAACACAUGCAAGUCGAACGGAAAGGCCUGCUUUCCCUUGUGGAUUGCGGGUACUCGAGUGGCGAACGGGUGAGUAACACGUGAGUGAUCUGCCCCCAACUUGGGUAUAAGCCUGGGAAACUGGGUCUAAUUCCCGGUAGGACUGCAGGGUGGUGCCUGUGGUGGAAAACGAUUUUCUAGUGGUUGGGGAUGAGCUCGCGGCCUAUCAGCUUGUUGGUGGGGUAAUGGCCUACCAAGGCGGCGACGGGUAGCCGGCCUGGGGGGGUGGACGGCCACAUUGGGACUGAGAUACGGCCCAGACUCCUACGGGAGGCAGCAGUGGGGAAUAUUGCACAAUGGGCGGAAGCCUGAUGCAGCGACGCCGCGUGGGGGAUGACGGCCUUCGGGUUGUAAACUCCUUUCGACCGCGAGGAAGCCACCUGGUUGGAAGGGUGGUGACGGUAGUGGUAGAAGAAGCACCGGCUAACUACGUG
rnacentral:rRNA from 1 species